GGAUUUUAAAAAUUAUUCGCUAGAAAAAAGACCACGAACUUUGGAGUGGACAUCCUGAGACCUGCCUAAGAAAACCAUUAGGGUAAAGAAGUCACCCCUUCACCCCAGGACCAGGAAGCCUCCAGGAUGGCAUAAGCGACCAAACAGCUGGGAGCCAAGCACAGUGCAGGGGGCUUGGGGGCGGCGGCCGGAGGCUGGGUGGCCUCCAGAAGACACUCCCCUGAUUCCUACACCGAGGGAACACAUAUCAGCAAGCUAGGAAGGGAGGGGUGACCCAGCCCAACGCUCUAAACCAGGGCGCGAACCGGCGUUGAGCUGUGCAGCCGCGCCCUGGGCUCCAGUCCUCCCCUGCUGCAGACCCCACCGGAGCCAGCACCUGCCUCCCAGACCCU
rnacentral:antisense_RNA from 1 species